AUCUCCACGCUCUCUCUCUCUCUCUCUCUCUCUCUCUCUCUCUCUCUCUCUCCCCCCUCUUUCUCUCUUCAAGUGCAUAAAGUUCAAUUCAAGUGACCUGGAUUUUUGGAGCUGCUGCCUCUCCAUUUGAUUUUAAUCGCGCUCAGCACGGUGAACCUCUCGGUAGUCAGUGAACUUGUAAAAAGAGAGCAGUGUCAUCGUGACACCAUUCGUGCACAUACGACAUACUUGUCCGCAGAUCGAAGAGGAUGGAUAUAUGAACGACGAGAUCGUCAGAUAACUCAUUUGAAUUCAUAUAACGUUGACGUGUCGUCCCGAGCCGAACACCGCUUCUCGUCCUCGCCGAUGGGAAUUUGUUUGCGCUGCUACUAAGUAAUUAUGUUUCCUGACCCGACUCGGUUGGCUUCCGUUCUCGGUAGAUUCCGUUGAAAUCCUCCCGUCCGCUAAAAGUUCCGCGCGGUACGGACUUGAGCGAUUAAGGUUGAUUAGAUCGUAACUUCCCUUUUCAUUUACUGACGCUUUAAAGAGAUCGCGGUGUCCGUGAAUAUUUAUUACUCGCCACAAUCAACCACGUUUCUUUUCACGUUGCUUUCACCGUGGAAAUCAGAAAUUGAAAUCCGUGAAACGGGAAAUGGCACUCCGCGCCGCUUUAAAAGAGCGACGCUCUUGAUUGAAAUUUUCAACUAAAUCGAGAAUCUUUCUGUUUUCAGUUUAAUUUUUUGUCGCGCGACAACGAAGGUAAUUAUUUCCAAUGUGGCUCUCUUGCAUACAGAUGACAUGAUGAUUCCGGUGUACGUUGUAUGAAAUUUGCAUUUUAAAAAGUAUCUUUUUCAUGCGAACGAUCCUACAUGUGAAAAAAGGUGACAUUGAACGUCCACUAGCGUUACAUGUUGUUCUCAGAAUUUAUGAAUUCGAUAUAUUGUGACAUAUAUUACGGCAAUCAGUAUCGAGAAUUCUCACGUAAUUGUCGCGAUGAAUGUGGAAAAGCGGCGCAAGAUGUAGAGACCGGGAGACGUAAAGCGCGCGUGCUUUGAUUCAUUGAAAGUCUGGCAUGCCUCAUUUCCAGGAAUCUCGAAAAAGAUCGCGCCUCCGUUCUGUCUCGUCUCUUCUCCGGGAAAUUCAGCGCACGGGGACCGUUGAUCGAAUUCGGACGGUUUCCGUGGAUUCGAUUUUCC